CAAGUUUUAGUUUUAUAUAACCUUAACAUGGGUUAUUGUUCCAUAGCUCUUAGAUACGAUACUGUUUGUGUGUCCUUGAUUGUUUUGACUACUCACUCGAUUUCUCUUCCGUUCUCAUCCUCUGCACGCAACCAUUCGCAUAGAGAUAAAUUUGAGUGCAGCUGGGCAAAGCUAAUUUGUGACAAGGUUGUGGGAAUUUUUUUUCCUUUUUCUCUCUCUCACGUCUAUAUUAUGUCGGUACGGUGGUGCAGCUGGAAUGCCUUGGACUCACAGUUCUGAGGUCCCAGGUUCAAUUCAAGAGCAGCCUGUGUGGAGUUGUGUGUUCUCCCCAGUUUUCUCCAGGCACUCCGGUUUCCUCCCACAUCACAAAAACUUGCUACAUUAAUUGGACACUCUAAACUGCCCCUAGGUGUGGGAUAGGCUCCAGCACUCCCGCGACCCUCGUGAGGAUGAGCGGCGAAGAAAAUGGAUGGAUGGGUGGAUGGAUGGAUGGAUGGAUGGAUGGAUGGAUGGACUUCUAUAUUACAAGAAAAAGACUUGCCAAACAGUUGGUGUCAGAAGUGGGAUUCUAGGAUGAUCGCCGAUCCAUGGGACCCCGGGAGUGAUUGAUCAUCCAGGACCAACACACGAGUCCUCACUCCACCCAAAGAAUUAGGACAGGGGCCUGUCAGGGCUCUGGAUGUCGGCUAUCACCUGAAGAUCCAAACUGAUCUGUUGUCCUCCAAACAAAGAAUGACGGUACACUUGUCAUCUUUAUCAUCUACAACCGGGGUGCCCAGACUUUUUUCCCCUCAAGAUCUACUUUUCAAGCAACCAGCCUCUUGCGAUCUACCAACGGGUGUGGGGGGUAAUGAUGAUGCUCUCAAAACGUUUUAAGGUUAAUGUUAUAUUGCCUCCUAUAUUUAAAAUACAGAAUUAGCUUUUUGUGCACUGUAUUGUCUGCUUUAGUCCUGGAUCAGGCUGUGCCAAUGUGGAAUUUUAAAAUUACACACCAUCUCAUCCUGCACUUUGUACUUUGGCUUCAGACCAGACCUUUCUCACUUGGAAAAGAGAAAAUCUAGUCCAGUUUAACCACUUUUUCUUUGAUUAUUCACAUACUCCGACAGUCAUUGCAUCUUAAAACAACAGCAUUUCUUUUUUAACUUUCUCCAUUAUUAUCGAAAGUAAACAUAAGCAGCAUGUCUAGCUCGUCUUUGCUCUACAUUGCCCAGACUGUGUUGCUAACUAAAGCAGCAGUGGUGGACCCUGUCAUUAUAGAACACAUUAAUGGGCUGCGUAAGUACUGUAACAUUUGUAAUUAUGAGUAUAAGUCUUUAAGAGGGGUGGGGGUUUACUAGGAAAAGAGAGUGUGGCAGAGCAGCGGUCGGUGUGAGAGAAAGUUCCGUGUGCUGCCUAAAGAUACCAGUGGCUUCCUCUUUUCAUUUUUGACAGUACGUAUGUGAAUUGUGCCAUUGGAUGUAACAACCAGUCAUCCCUCACUCAUUGAAUCACAUUGCAAAAUGCCACAAACUGAUUAGCUGUAUAUUAUACUUUCAAUUUGCAAUUGAUUAUUAUUUUUUUUGCGCGCAAUGCAGAAUAUCUGCGAAGAGACUGCAUCAGCGGUGCACAAUUGCGCACGUGCGCUGUUUAGAGGGAACAUUGGC